GCUGUGAUGGUGUAAUGGUAACAUCCAAGCUUCCCAGUGACAUCAUGCUAGUCUGCUUGGGCCCCGAGUUCGAUUCUCGGUCACAGCA